rnacentral:rRNA from 1 species
GAUGAACGCUGGCGGCGUGCCUAAUACAUGCAAGUCGAGCGAACGGACGAGAAGCUUGCUUCUCUGAUGUUAGCGGCGGACGGGUGAGUAACACGUGGAUAACCUACCUAUAAGACUGGGAUAACUUCGGGAAACCGGAGCUAAUACCGGAUAAUAUUUUGAACCGCAUGGUUCAAAAGUGAAAGACGGUCUUGCUGUCACUUAUAGAUGGAUCCGCGCUGCAUUAGCUAGUUGGUAAGGUAACGGCUUACCAAGGCAACGAUGCAUAGCCGACCUGAGAGGGUGAUCGGCCACACUGGAACUGAGACACGGUCCAGACUCCUACGGGAGGCAGCAGUAGGGAAUCUUCCGCAAUGGGCGAAAGCCUGACGGAGCGACGCCGCGUGAGUGAUGAAGGUCUUCGGAUCGUAAAACUCUGUUAUUAGGGAAGAACAUAUGUGUAAGUAACUGUGCACAUCUUGACGGUACCUAAUCAGAAAGCCACGGCUAACUACGUGCCAGCAGCCGCGGUAAUACGUAGGUGGCAAGCGUUAUCCGGAAUUAUUGGGCGUAAAGCGCGCGUAGGCGGUUUUUUAGUCUGAUGUGAAAGCCCACGGCUCAACCGUGGAGGGUCAUUGGAAACUGGAAAACUUGAGUGCAGAAGAGGAAAGUGGAAUUCCAUGUGUAGCGGUGAAAUGCGCAGAGAUAUGGAGGAACACCAGUGGCGAAGGCGACUUUCUGGUCUGUAACUGACGCUGAUGUGCGAAAGCGUGGGGAUCAAACAGGAUUAGAUACCCUGGUAGUCCACGCCGUAAACGAUGAGUGCUAAGUGUUAGGGGGUUUCCGCCCCUUAGUGCUGCAGCUAACGCAUUAAGCACUCCGCCUGGGGAGUACGACCGCAAGGUUGAAACUCAAAGGAAUUGACGGGGACCCGCACAAGCGGUGGAGCAUGUGGUUUAAUUCGAAGCAACGCGAAGAACCUUACCAAAUCUUGACAUCCUUUGACAACUCUAGAGAUAGAGCUUUCCCCUUCGGGGGACAAAGUGACAGGUGGUGCAUGGUUGUCGUCAGCUCGUGUCGUGAGAUGUUGGGUUAAGUCCCGCAACGAGCGCAACCCUUAAGCUUAGUUGCCAUCAUUAAGUUGGGCACUCUAAGUUGACUGCCGGUGACAAACCGGAGGAAGGUGGGGAUGACGUCAAAUCAUCAUGCCCCUUAUGAUUUGGGCUACACACGUGCUACAAUGGACAAUACAAAGGGCAGCGAAACCGCGAGGUCAAGCAAAUCCCAUAAAGUUGUUCUCAGUUCGGAUUGUAGUCUGCAACUCGACUACAUGAAGCUGGAAUCGCUAGUAAUCGUAGAUCAGCAUGCUACGGUGAAUACGUUCCCGGGUCU